ensembl:lncRNA
UCAAAAUUGGCAUAGUAUUUUUUAUACAGAAGGUGCUCUGGAAAAGGGCCUUACAGUGUUAUCCUGAGCCAGUCUUUGAUUGUUCAGUGUGGAACGGAAGAACUUCAGUGCACCAUUGAUGUUGGCGCAAGAAUAGACAGUGGCUCCUUGACCCUGAGGAUGUGAAAAGUAAAUUAGUCAGGGAACCAUACUAGUUCUUAAAUAUUAGAAUAUAAUAAAAGAAGCAUGAUUGAAAAAACAUUUGGAUUUUAUCUCUUACACUGUUGUCUCGAGAGAGGCCAGCUCCAAUGUAACCAUCUGACUCGCCACUGAGUUCAAAGGUAAAAUUAUCUGCACUUCCGCUUACUCCUUUUGCAGAUAGGAAAUAACAGGAAUCUUGUGCACCUGGAUUACAAGUAGGUGGAGCAGAGAAACAUGCUCUAUCCCUCCUGCAGUUAUCCCUGCCAGUGAUAUCCUGCAGUGAACAAGAGGUCAAAUUAAAAAGAAAGAAAAAAAUUAUAAAAAUUAAUUGUUAUCCUUUAAAAGCAACUUUCACUUCAAGUCAGGAUUCUUAUUAUUUGCAUUUUUGAGCAAGAAAAAGGGCUUACUAGUGAUAGAUUAUUGACGUUGCUGUUGUUCAAGGUAUUAGAGCCUGAUGGUGUCGCAGUCAGGUUAGCAAUCACGGUGGAAGGGCGUGUUUGAGUCUGGUUGGCGGUUAUGUUGGGAGGGUUUGUCUGGGUCAGGUUGGCGGUUAUGUUGGGAGGGUUUGUCUGGGUCAGGUUGGCGGUUAUGUUGGGAGGGUGUGUCUGGGUCAGGUUGGCGGUUAUGUUGGGAGGGUGUGUCUGGGUCAGGUUGGCGGUUAUGUUGGGAGGGUGUGUCUGGGUCAGGUUGACGGUUAUGUUGGGAGGGUUUGUCUGGGUCAGGUUGGCGGUUAUGUUGGGAGGGUUUGUCUGGGUCAGGUUGGCGGUUAUGUUGGGAGGGUUUGUCUGGGUCAGGUUGGCGGUUAUGUUGGGAGGGUUUGUCUGGGUCAGGUUGGCGGUUAUGUUGGGAGGGUUUGUCUGGGACAGGUUGGCGGUUAUGUUGGGAGGGUUUGUCUGGGUCAGGUUGGCGGUUAUGUUGGGAGGGUUUGCCUGGGUCAGGUUGACGGUUAUGUUGGGAGGGUUUGUCUGGGUCAGGUUGGCGGUUAUGUUGGGAGGGUGUGUCUGGGUCAGGUUGGCGGUUAUGUUGGGAGGGUUUGUCUGGGUCAGGUUGGCGGUUAUGUUGGGAGGGUGUGUCUGGGUCAGGUUGGUGGUUAUGUUUGGAGGGUUUGUCUGGGUCAGGUUGGUGGUUAUGUUGGGAGGGUAUGUUUGGGGCAGGAUAGCGGUUAUGUUGGGAGGGUGUGUUUGGGUCAGGUUGGUGGUUAUGUUGGGAGUUUGUGUUUGGGGCAGGUUGGUGGUUAUGUUGGAAGGGUGUGUUUGUGUCAGGUUAGCGGUCAUGUUGAAAGGGCCCAUCUGGGUUGGGUUUGUGGUCAUAUUAAAAGGGCUCAUCUGGUUCGGGUUUGUGGUCAUGUUGAGAGGGCCCAUCUGGGAUAGGUUUGUAGUCAUAUUAAGAGGGCCUAUCUGGGUAAGGCUGGUGGUCAUGUUGAGAGGACCAAUCUGGGUUGGGUUUGUGGUCAUGUUAAAAGGGCUUAACUGGUCGGGGUUUGUGGUCAUGUUGAGAGGGCCCAUCAGGGAUGGGUUUGUAGUCAUAUUAAGAGGGCCAGUCUGGGUAAGGCUGGUGGUCAUGUUGAGAGGACCCAUCUGGGUAAGGUUAAGGUUUAUGUUGGGAGGUCCUGUUUGAGUUAAGUUUGAAGUUAUGUUGAAGGGACCGACCUGGUUUAGGUUGGUGGUCAUGCUGGGUGGGUUCGUCUGGGUCAGGUUGGUGGUAAUGUUGGGUGGUAGUGUCUGGGUCAGGUUGGUGGUCAUGUUGGUUGGUAGCGUCUGGGUCAGGCUGGUGGUCAUGUUAGAAGAUAUCCAGCUGUCUGUAGAGUUGCUACUGCUUGUUGUAUUGCUCCCAUUGACUCCAAGCAUCAUGCAUGCUAUCCCCAGGAUAGCCACAUAAAUCCAUUUACUCCUCAUCCGUGAUCUUUAUGUGCUUAUGUAUCUGUUAAUCGUGCAGUUUUUGUUACCUAUAAUUUAAAAGAAAACAAAUCAUCUUGUAUAAUCAACAAAAAAAAAUAAACAUUUUGGAUAAUUUAAAUUUGAUUUUAAAAGCCAUUAACGAAAGGCAGGCUUUAUCUGAAAGACUUUGUCGUUCAUAAUCUUUUAUCAUUCCUUCCCAGACACAAACAAGCAUGAACCUGGAUCCUCAAUUCAUCAACACCUUAGUUUAUUUACCACAUCUUAUUUAGCAAUAUGGUAUUCAUAAAUAUUAUGGCAUUUUAACAAUUUAACCUUAACACUAACAUACGAGUUUUGCUUAAUGUCUUUUCAUUUCUUUAUCUCAGCAAUGGUUGUUUGUUUGAUGGAACUAAGAGGCUAUCUAUGCAAUCUUCAAAUAAUUCUUGUUACACAACAUUAUAUACUACACAGUGCAACCAUUUAACCUUCUUACUAUGGUAAAGUGUAAAAUUACAGAAUUUGAUAGAUCCUCAAAAUCCAUCCUCAAAACUAAGUGAGCAUAAAAAAAUAAAAUUUUUGCAACUAAAAACUUUUUUUUUUUAAUGUAUGCUUUAGAAGUCAGUGGCUCCUUAGUCAUUCCAUAGUCUCUCGAAAAGUUGGGUCGUUCAGACAGGAUAGCACCGUCCAAUAACACAAAGUAUUUUUAUUUUUUUUCCAGAGUAGACACAACAUUUUGUAAAAAUGUACCAAAAAUUAAAUAAUACAUAAUUGACUUCUAUUUUUAUAACUAAUUUGAAUUAUAAUAUAAAGAUAAAAUAUAUUCAAUUGAUAGGCUAUCUAAUAUUCAUUCAGUACAAUGCAUAAUAAGAUUUGUAAUUUAUGAUCAAACUCAGAUAAAAUAAUAAAAAAUAAAAAAAAACAGCAUGCAUUGGUAUCUGAACAAACAGGAAAAAACAG